rnacentral:rRNA from 1 species
GUUUGGAUCAUGGCUCAGAACGUACGCUGGCGGCACGCCUAACACAUGCAAGUCGAACGAAGUAGCAAUACUUAGUGGCAGACGGGUGAGUAACAUGUAGGUAUCUGCCCUUUGGCCUGGAAUAACACGAGGAAACUUGUGCUAAUACCGGAUAAGUCUUUACGGAGAAAGCUUUAUGCACCAUUGGAUGAGCCUGCACUUGAUUAGUUUGUUGGUGGGGUAAUGGCCUACCAAGACUGUGAUCAAUAGCUGAUUUGAGAGGAUGAUCAGCCACAUUGGGACUGAGACACGGCCCAAACUCCUACGGGAGGCAGCAGUGGGGAAUCUUGCACAAUGGAGGAAACUCUGAUGCAGCGAUGCCGCGUGAGUGAAGAAGGCCCUUGGGUUGUAAAGCUCUUUCGUCGGGGAAGAAAAUGACUGUACCCGAAUAAGAAGGUCCGGCUAACUUCGUGCCAGCAGCCGCGGUAAUACGAAGGGACCUAGCGUAGUUCGGAAUUACUGGGCUUAAAGAGUUCGUAGGUGGUUGAAAUAGUUGGUGGUGAAAUCCCAGAGCUUAACUCUGGAACUGCCAUCAAAACUUUUCAGCUAGAGUAUGAUAGAGGAAAGCAGAAUUUCUAGUGUAGAGGUGAAAUUCGUAGAUAUUAGAAAGAAUACCAAUUGCGAAGGCAGCUUUCUGGAUCAUUACUGACACUGAGGAACGAAAGCAUGGGUAGCGAAGAGGAUUAGAUACCCUCGUAGUCCAUGCCGUAAACGAUGUGUGUUAGACGUUGGAAAUUUAUUUUCAGUGUCGCAGGGAAACCGAUAAACACACCGCCUGGGGAGUACGACCGCAAGGUUAAAACUCAAAUGAAUUGACGGGGACCCGCACAAGUAGUGGAGCAUGUGGUUUAAUUCGAAGAUACGCGCAGAACCUUACCAACACUUGACAUGUUCGUCGCGACUCUAAGAGAUUAGAGUUUUCGGUUCGGCCGGACGAAACACAGGUGCUGCAUGGCUGUCGUCAGCUCGUGUCGUGAGAUGUUGGGUUAAGUCCCGCAACGAGCGCAACCCUCACUUUUAGUUGCCAUCAUUAAGUUGGGCACUCUGAAAGAACUGCCAGUGAUAAGCUGGAGGAAGGUGGGGAUGACGUCAAGUCCUCAUGGCCCUUACGUGUUGGGCUACACACGUGCUACAAUGGUAUCUACAACAGGAAGCAAGACUGCGAAGUUAAGCAAAUCCCUAAAAGAUACCUCAGUUCGGAUUGCACUCUGCAACUCGAGUGCAUGAAGCUGGAAUUACUAGUAAUCGUGGAUCAGCGUGCCACGGUGAAUGCGUUCCCGGGUCUUGUACACACCGCCCGUCACACCAUGGGAGUUGGUUCUACCUUNAAGGCAAGGUUUUAAACCCUUGACCACGGUAUAGUCAGCGACUGGGGU